rnacentral:ncRNA from 2 species
CGCUCCGCCCGCAACUGGCGCAUCAGAUGGAUCACCAUCGGGGAGCGGGCGCUUGUCACUGUCGCGCGCCUGGGCAAUCUUC